CAAUGCUUGAUACGGCAUUUGCUAGCAAAUGAAGCAGGAUAGUAUUAAUUGGAGAAGGUGUUUUUGGUGACGUCGCUUUGUGUAAUCUUCACUCUCCCAUUCAUAACUCCCUAUAUCUCCUCAUGGUUGUGGACUAAAUAUCCGUCUUAAAAUGAACGAGUGGGCCAACAGUACAGCAGUAGUGUUGGAGCAGUCGUGGACGAGGGUUGAGAGGUCAGUGCUGUUGGCAGUUCUGAGCAUGGAGAUGGUGCUGGGGGUCAUUGGGAACUGUCUGGUACUACUGGUAAAAAUCCUAUAGUGUAGGGGUCGGUUUCCCUGUAGAUACUGGGUCCCCUUCGUCAAUCUGACCCCUCUCACCACAGCUGAUACUCCUGGUUAGACUGGACCUAUCCCCUGCACCUGAUUGGCGGAGAACUUGUCGCCGGUGAUGCUCUACCUGGACUGCGAGUUGAACCCCAUCAUCUACUGUGCCAAUCAGGACUUGCGGGAGGCGGGACUUGCUCUGUUCUAGACCAGUAGGAAGUUGUUAUUCUCCGAGCCUGUGCUGACAAGCAUGACAACGUUGGAAUUGGAAAGAUUUUACAACAAAAUAAAUUACAGUGGGGCAAAAAAGCAUUUAGUCAGCCACCAAUUGUGCAAGUUCUCCCACUUAAAAAGAUGAGAGAGGCCUGUAAUUUUCAUCAUAGACAUACACUUCAACUAUGACAGACAAAAUGAGAAAAAAAAUCCAGUAAAUCACAUUGUAGGAUUUUUAAUUAAUUUAUUUGCAAAUUAUGGUGGAAAAUAAGUAUUUGGUCAAUAACAAAAGUUUAUCUCAAUACUUUGUUAUAUACCCUUUGUUGGCAAUGACAGAGGUCAAACAUUUUCUGUAAGUCUUCACAAGGUUUUCACACACUGUUGCUGGUAUUUUGGCCCAUUCCUCCAAGCAGAUCUCCUCUAGAGCAGUGAUGUUUUGGGGCUGUUGCUGGGCAACACGGACUUUCAACUCCCUCCAUGGACACUUAUAUCAUUUUUCACACUGAACAAAACCUGAUAUAGGUCAAUUUCAGCACCCCCUAUAGGUCAAUGGUGAAAAAGCACUCACCUGUAUUGACAUUUUGGGUCAUGGCUUCCUCUGUGUUGCCCCAAAAUACCUUAAAAUAUUUGUAUAUUAUAACCUUUAUGAUUGCAACAUUGAUAAAAAACAUAAACUGCAGAAAAUUGUGGUGUUUUAAAUCCAAGUUACCUUUUACACUCAAUUUUACACUAAUGUAUCCAUCUCAUAAUUAAAUGACAAUUUACAUAAUGGUUUUGUUAUCCAAUCAUCAUGAUGCAUUACACCUCAUGGCACAACAAUCUGCUUAAUACUGAUAUACAAAUAUACUUAAUUUUUUCAAACAUACAUUCCAGACGAAAUCCUGCAAUGGGUCAUGUCCGGCUGUCCAACUACCUACCCGCUCGACCCCACCUCCUCCCUUUCCCCAAACCAUCUCUGGAGACCUUCUUCCAUUCCUCAAUUCUCUCAUCAUCUAAUCCCUGACCACUGACUUCAAGAUAGCCAAAGCCCUCCUCAAGAAACCAACACUUGACCCCUCUGACAUCAAACUAUAGACUGGUAUCCCUUCUUUCUUUUCUUUCCAAAACACUUGAGCGUGCUGUCUAUGACCAACUCUCUCAUUAUCUCUCAGAACAUUCUUCUUGAACCUUACCAGUCAGGCUUCAAGACGGGUCACUCACCCUAGAUCGUUCUCCUCUGCGUCAUGGAGGCUCUCCACACUGCCAAAGUUGACUAUCUCUCCUCUGUUCUCAUAAUAUAUGCCUCCUAGAUCUACCUGCCGCCUUUGACACAGUGAACCAUCGGACCCUCCUCUCCUGAUCUCACUAAUGGUGUCCCCCAGGGCUCGGUUAUAGGCCCUGUUCUCUCUAUACACCAAGUCACUUGGCUCCGUCAUAUCCUCGCGUGGUCACUCCUAUCAUCGCUAUGUUGACGACACCUACUGACACCCAGGUGCUGACACACAUCUCUGUGUGCCUGGCAGACAUCUCAGCUUGGAUGUCAGUCCACCACCUCAAGCUCAACCUUGACAAUACUGAGUUGCUAUUCCUCCCAGGGAAGGCUUGCCCGCUACAAGACAUCUCCAUCAUGGUUGACAACUCCACUGUGUCCUCCUCCCAGAGUGCAAAGAACCUUGGCGUGACCCUGGACAACACCCUGUCGUUCUCUGCAAACAAAGCAGUGACUCGCUCCUGCAGGUUCAUGCUCUACAACAUUCAUAGAGUGCGACCUUAACUCACACAGGAAGUGGGGCAGGUCCUAAUACAGACAUCUCCUCUCUGAACUACUUGCUGUUGGCUGGGCUCCCCACUUGUGCUAUUAAAUUCCUGCAACUGUUGCAGAACACAGUAGCCUGAUUGGUGUUCAACCAUUUCAAGUUCUCCCAUGUCGCCCCGCUCCUCCGCACACUCUACUGGCUUCCAGUCGAAGCUCGCAUCCACUACAAGACCGUGCAGCAAGGGGAACUGUCCCUCCCUACCUCCAGGCUAUGCUCAAACCCUACACCCCAACCCGAGUUCUGACACCCCUGGUCUCCUGGCCCUCCCACCUCUACUGGAGGUCACCUCCCACUCAGCCCAGUCAAAGCUCUUGUCUGUCCUGGCACCCCAGUUGUGGAACAAGCUUCAUCUUCCGAAAACGUCUGAGACCCUACCUCUUCAAAGACUAUCUUAAAUAAUCCCACAGCACCACCCACCCCACCCCUGGCCUUUUAUCGAAUUGACACUCGCACUUGACUUUUUUUCCGUACUAGCAUUGCUAGCGCUUUUCUUACUAACUACUUUAUUUAGGAAAAUGUACUUACAAUGACUGAGAUAAUGUGGUUGUCCCACCUAGCUAUCUUAAGAUAAAUGUACUAACUGUAAGCUGCUCUGGAUAACAGCGUAAGUGUAAAUGUUAUUCGACGUUGUGUAAAAUAAUCAUAAAGUGAAACAUUUUUGAAAUACCCACAGUCCUCGAAAAAUGGAGCCACUUGGCAAGUUGUUGCAAGAACUUAAAUUAUGUUUAGAGAAAUAUGACUACAAUUGAGUAAGUUAAACCACUACAUUUUGUCUUUCUUUGGUUAUCCUCAUAAAGAAAGAACAUAUAUUUCCACAUUUUGAAUUCAGGCUGUAACACAACAGAACGUGGAAUAAGUCAAAGGUUAUGAAUACUUCCCGAAGGCACUGUAUAUCGAAUGUGUGCAGCUAGCGUAUUAUUGUUCAGUGUUUCAAAACGUUGGGUGGCG